UUGGCUCCGGUUCACGACGCGUGACCAGUCGACCCGGCGGCC
rnacentral:ncRNA from 1 species